AACGAACGCUGGCGGCAUGCCUAACACAUGCAAGUCGAACGAGACCUUCGGGUCUAGUGGCGCACGGGUGCGUAACGCGUGGGAACCUGCCCUUAGGUUCGGAAUAACUCCCCGAAAGGGGUGCUAAUACCGGAUAAUGUCUUCGGACCAAAGAUUUAUCGCCUUUGGAUGGGCCCGCGUUGGAUUAGCUAGUUGGUAGGGUAAAAGCCUACCAAGGCGACGAUCCAUAGCUGGUCUGAGAGGAUGAUCAGCCACACUGGGACUGAGACACGGCCCAGACUCCUACGGGAGGCAGCAGUGUGGAAUAUUGGACAAUGGGCGAAAGCCGGAUCCAGCAAUGCCGCGUGAGUGAUGAAGGCCUUAGGGUUGUAAAGCUCUUUUACCCGGGAUGAUAAUGACAGUACCGGGAGAAUAAGCUCCGGCUAACUCCGU
rnacentral:rRNA from 1 species